rnacentral:rRNA from 1 species
GACGAACGCUGGCGGCGUGCUUAACACAUGCAAGUCGAACGGAAAGGCCCUGCUUUUGUUGGGUGCUCGAGUGGCGAACGGGUGAGUAACACGUGAGUAACCUGCCCUUGACUUUGGGAUAACUUCUGGAAACUGGGGCUAAUACCGGAUAGGAGCUCCUGCUGCAUGGUGUGGGUUGGAAAGGUUCGGCGGUUGGGGAUGGACUCGCGGCUUAUCAGCUUGUUGGUGGGGGAGUGGCUUACCAAGGCUUUGACGGGUAGCCGGCCUGAGAGGGUGACCGGCCACAUUGGGACUGAGAUACGGCCCAGACUGCUACGGGAGGCAGCAGUGGGGAAUAUUGCACAAUGGGCGGAAGUCGGAUGCAGCAACGCCGCGUGCGGGAUGACGGCCUUCGGGUUGUAAACCGCUUUCGCCUGUGACGAAGCGUGAGUGACGGUAAUGGGUAAAGAAGCACCGGCUAACUACGUG